CCUUUGUACACACCGCCCGUCGCUACUACCGAUUGAAUGGCUCAGUGAGGCUUUCGGACUGAUCUAAGGGAGGAGGCAACUCUUCCCCCUGGUCGGAAAGUUAUCCAAACUCGGUCAUUUAGAGG
rnacentral:rRNA from 1 species